UCGAGAAUCUUUCGCAAUGCCCGAAAGGGUGACGAAGCGACGCCGCGUGCGGGAAGAAGGCCUUCGGGUUGUAAACCGCUGUCGGGAGUUAAGAAAUGCAAGGAUAUUAAUAGUGUCUUUGCUUGACUAAGGCUCCGGAGGAAGCCACGGCUAACUCUGUGCCAGCAGCCGCGGUAAUACAGAGGCGGCAAGCGUUGUUCGGAAUUAUUGGGCGUAAAGAGCACGUAGGCGGCUAUGUAAGUCGGUUGUGAAAGCCUUCCGCUCAACGGGAGAACAGCAUCCGAUACUGCAUGGCUUGAGUGCGGGAGGGGAGAGUGGAACUUCUGGUGGAGCGGUGAAAUGCGUAGAUAUCAGAAGGAACGCCGGCGGCGAAAGCGGCUCUCUGGCCCGUAACUGACGCUG
rnacentral:rRNA from 1 species